UACGUAGGUGGCGAGCGUUGUCCGGAAUUACUGGGUGUAAAGGGCGUGUAGGCGGGGAAGCAAGUCAGAUGUGAAAUACCGGAGCUUAACUUCGGAGCUGCAUCUGAAACUGUGUCUCUUGAGUGUCGGAGAGGAAAGCGGAAUUCCCAGUGUAGCGGUGAAAUGCGUAGAUAUUGGGAGGAACACCAGUGGCGAAGGCGGCUUUCUGGACGAUAACUGACGCUGAGGCGCGAAAGCGUGGGGAGCAAACAGGAUUAGAUACCCUGGUAGUCCACGCUGUAAACGAUGGAUACUAGGUGUAGGAGGUAUCGACCCCUUCUGUGCCGGAGUUAACACAAUAAGUAUCCCACCUGGGGAGUACGGCCGCAAGGUUGAA
rnacentral:rRNA from 1 species